AGUGAACGCUGGCGGUAGGCCUAACACAUGCAAGUCGAACGGCAGCACAGUAAGAGCUUGCUCUUACGGGUGGCGAGUGGCGGACGGGUGAGGAAUACAUCGGAAUCUACUUUUUCGGGGGGGAUAACGUAGGGAAACUUACGCUAAUACCGCAUACGACCUACGGGUGAAAGCAGGGGAUCUUCGGACCUUGCGCGAUUGAAUGAGCCGAUGUCGGAUUAGCUAGUUGGCGGGGUAAAGGCCCACCAAGGCGACGAUCCGUAGCUGGUCUGAGAGGAUGGUCAGCCACACUGGAACUGAGACACGGUCCAGACUCCUACGGGAGGCAGCAGUGGGGAAUAUUGGACAAUGGGCGCGAGCCUGAUCCAGCCAUCCCGCGUGGGUGGAGAAGGCCUUCGGGUUGUAAAGCCCUUUUGUUGGGAAAGAACAGCAGCAGGUUAAUACCCCGCUGUUCUGACGGUACCCAAAGAAUAAGCACCGGCUAACUUCGUG
rnacentral:rRNA from 1 species